rnacentral:rRNA from 1 species
AUUGAACGCUGGCGGCAGGCCUAACACAUGCAAGUCGAGCGGAUGAAGGGAGCUUGCUCCUGGAUUCAGCGGCGGACGGGUGAGUAAUGCCUAGGAAUCUGCCUUGUAGUGGGGGAUAACGUCCGGAAACGGGCGCUAAUACCGCAUACGUCCUGAGGGAGAAAGUGGGGGAUCUUCGGACCUCACGCUAUCAGAUGAGCCUAGGUCGGAUUAGCUAGUUGGUGUGGUAAAGGCCUACCAAGGCGACGAUCCGUAACUGGUCUGAGAGGAUGAUCAGUCACACUGGAACUGAGACACGGUCCAGACUCCUACGGGAGGCAGCAGUGGGGAAUAUUGGACAAUGGGCGAAAGCCUGAUCCAGCCAUGCCGCGUGUGUGAAGAAGGUCUUCGGAUUGUAAAGCACUUUAAGUUGGGAGGAAGGGCAGUAAGUUAAUACCUUGCUGUUUUGACGGUACCAACAGAAUAAGCACCGGCUAACUUCGUG